rnacentral:rRNA from 1 species
AACGAAUGAUGGCGGAAGGAAGAACACAGGCAAGUCGAACGAGACCUUCGGGUCUAGUGGCGCACGGGUGCGUAACGCGUGGGAACCUGCCCUUAGGUUCGGAAUAACUCCCCGAAAGGGGUGCUAAUACCGGAUAAUGUCUUCGGACCAAAGAUUUAUCGCCUUUGGAUGGGCCCGCGUUGGAUUAGCUAGUUGGUAGGGUAAAAGCCUACCAAGGCGACGAUCCAUAGCUGGUCUGAGAGGAUGAUCAGCCACACUGGGACUGAGACACGGCCCAGACUCCUACGGGAGGCAGCAGUGGGGAAUAUUGGACAAUGGGCGAAAGCCUGAUCCAGCAAUGCCGCGUGAGUGAUGAAGGCCUUAGGUUUUUAAAGCUCUUUUACCCGGGAUGAUAAUGACAGUACCGGGAGAAUAAGCUCCGGCUAACUCCGU